CCUACGGGGGGCAGCAGUGGGGGAUAUCGCACAAUGGAGGAAACUCUGAUGCAGCGACGCCGCGUGAGGGAAGACGGUCUUCGGAUUGUAAACCUCUGUCUUUGGGGAAGAAAAUGACGGUACCCAAAGAGGAAGCUCCGGCUAACUACGUGCCAGCAGCCGCGGUAAUACGUAGGGAGCGAGCGUUGUCCGGAAUUAUUGGGUUUAAAGGGUGCGUAGGCGGAAUAUCAAGUCAGCGGUAAAAAUUCGGGGCUCAACCCCGUCGUGCCGUUGAAACUGAUGUUCUUGAGUGGGCGAGAAGUAUG
rnacentral:rRNA from 1 species